GCAGUGAGGAAUAUUGGUCAAUAGCCUAACGGCUGAACCAGCAACUUGGAGGAAUGUAUAGCAAUAGCUACUUGUAUCAUUAAUGAUGCAAGCUCGACUAUGUUGAAUAAAAUUCUAGGUAGAAUUAUGAUAAUGACAUUGUCUGCCUAUGUGUCUUGACCAAAUUACGUGCCAGCAGUCGCGGUAAUACGUAGAAGACUAGUGUUAUUCAUGUUUAAUCGGUUUAAAGGGUACCUAGACGGUGAAUCAAGCUUUAGAAUAAAGAAGAAAAGGAACUAAUUCGCUAGAGUUACUUACGAGGGGGUAGUAAAGUACUGCUGGUGUAGAGAUGAAAUUCUGUCAUACCUCUUUUCGAAAGAAAAAUUAUGGCACAGGUAUAGGCGAAGGCAUCCCCUUAUGUGAUWWCUGACGUUUGAAGGACGAAGGCUUCGUGGAACAAACAGGAUUAGAUACCCUAGUAGUUGAAGCAGAAAAUGAUGAAUGUCAUAGAUUAGACGUCUAAGUUUAUUCUAUAAAUGAAAGUGUAAGCAUUCCACCUCAUGAGUAAUUUGGCAACAUUGGAAUUGAAAUCAUUAGACCGUUUCUGAAACCAGUAGUGAAGUAUGUUGUUUAAUUUGAUAAUACGCAAAAAACCUUACCACAAUUUGAAUAUUUAUAUUGUUUAUUGUUAUCUUAUUAAUUUUCUUAAAAAAACUAAUUAUAGCAAAAGCAUUUUAAAACAGGAAAAGAAAAUUAAUCAAGAGGCAAUAACAUAUAUCUACAAGCGUUGCACGGCUGUCUUCAGUUAAUGUCGCGAGACUUUGGUUAGUUCCAUUAAAUUAACGUAAACCCUUACUUUAUUUUUUAUAUAGAGUAGUUCCCCGCUAUAUUGGAUAUGAUAACAGGGACUAAGACAAGUCAUCAUGGCCUAAAUAUUGUGGGCUAUAGACGUGCCACAA
rnacentral:rRNA from 1 species